rnacentral:rRNA from 1 species
UACAGAGGUCUCAAGCGUUGUUCGGAUUCAUUGGGCGUAAAGGGUGUGUAGGUGGCGCCGUAAGUCGGGUGUGAAAUCUCGGAGCUUAACUCCGAAACUGCAUUCGAUACUGCCGUGCUUGAGGACUGGAGAGGAGACUGGAAUUUACGGUGUAGCGGUGAAAUGCAUAGAUAUCGUAAGGAAGACCGGUGGCGAAGGCGGGUCUCUGGACAGUUCCUGACGCUGAGGCAACGGAAGGUCAGGGGAGCAAACGGG